rnacentral:rRNA from 1 species
CCUACGGGAGGCAGCAGUGAGGAAUAUUGGUCAAUGGACGAGAGUCUGAACCAGCCAAGUAGCGUGAAGGAUGACUGCCCUAUGGGUUGUAAACUUCUUUUAUAUGGGAAUAAAACGUUCCACGUGUGGGAUUUUGUAUGUACCAUAUGAAUAAGGAUCGGCUAACUCCGUGCCAGCAGCCGCGGUAAUACGGAGGAUCCGAUCGUUAGCCGGAUUUAUUGGGUUUAAAGGGAGCGUAGGUGGAUUGGUAAGUCAGUUGUGAAAGUUUGCGGCUCAACCGUAAAAGUGCAGUUGAAACUGGCAGGCUUGAGUACAGUAGAGGUGGGCGGAAUUCGUGGUGUAGCGGUGAAAUGCUUAGAUAUCACGAAGAACUCCGAUUGCGAAGGCAGUUCACUGGACUGCAACUGACACUGAGGCUCGAAAGUGUGGGUAUCAAACAGGAUUAGAUACCCGAGUAGUC